GUAAGAUGGUACAAUGAUUCUUUACAGUAUACUUGAUAUUUUUGUCUCAAACUGAAAUUAGGUAAACUAUUAGAAUUUUAGCAACCAGGAAUGGCAUUGAUUUCUGCAUAUUGCACCUUAAAAUAUUUUUUUUUAAAGAAGCUGGACACAACAUUGUAUUUGAAAUCCUGUUUUAUGAUAUACAAUGGCAUAUAUUGCAUUUAAAUUCACAACUAAGCUUAAACAAAGACAUUAAUGAACUGAACUGUUUUUAAUGAACUGUUUUCCACAGCAGUGAAGGAAAGUGGUACAGCUUAUUGGGGUCGUUUGUUGGAAGCAAGAGAGCAAAGGAGAGUCUAUUUGAUUUUGGUGAGAGCCACCGCCCGCCUCUCAGUGUUCUGGAACAAAGCUCGGAUUAGGCUCUUCAUAUCGGAACUAGAGAACUCCAGCGCCAGUGGCCCUUUCCCCUCCGCCCACCUUCAGACAGGAAACAAGGACAAAUCAACCAAUAAGAGGACUCAGUGGUAUACCAAUCAAACAAGUUAGCUUGCAGCACUAUGACCAGCUCCUUGAAGGUGAUCCACUUCUUCACGUAAACAGUUCCCCCUGGAUGGUCAGGGCCUGGAGGACACAGGAAAGCAGAGGCGGAGGGCUCUGCUGGGGCUCCUUGGUCCCGCCCAGGGUCAGCUGGAGCUCCGUCUUCAGGAACGACUUCAUCUCCGUCGGCUCUGAGAGGAUGGAUGGACACACAGAACCAGUGUCUUUGGUGGCAUGAAUGAAGUGCAAUGUACCGCCUUUAAAAUAAAAACGUA